rnacentral:tRNA from 1 species
CGGGGUGUAGCUCAGAUUGGUAGAGCGUUGCGUUCGGGACGCAGAGGUCGCUGGUUCAAGUCCAGUCACCCCGA